UGCUAUGUCGUUCUUUUCUUCAUCCUCAACUCCAGGUUCGAUCGCUUCCCAUGCCUUAUGAACGCGCAUUAAAACCCUCAUCUUCAUCGCCCAUACCGUAUAGUUUGAUGUUGUUAACAUCGGACAAACCACGGUGGUAGGCACACCAUCUUUUACUUUCACCAAAGCUUUUGAAUCCUCCAUAAUUCUCUGUAUCUAAGUUCUUCGAUUGAUUUGAACCUCAGGCUCUGAUACCAAAUAAAGUGAUCAAAGACACAGGAAUUAUAAAACAAGUUCUUCUGUUUUAUUUCUUUCUUAACUUUCUUUCAAUUGUUGUAGAGAUCAUCUUACAUUAGACCUCUAUAUAUAUAGGACUUUCUUGACUUCUCCUAUUACAAGUAUAUCUAGGAAUUCUUAUCUUUAUCCUAAACAUAAUAAGCUAUUCAUCCUUAUCUUCAAUAGCUUGUCGAACAAGUAAACUUGAAGCUUAUCCAACACUUCCUCCCUCCAGGAAAAAAAUGAUCGAGCUUGGGGCCGAACUUAAUGUUAUUGCGGUCUCUUUAUUUUGUAUUGGAUAGCUUGAGCUCCCCCGUGUAUCUGAUGGAUUUCUCUCCAAAAUCUAUCAUCUGUGGUGCCUAUUGGAGUUGACGGUUUUGGAAGUAACAUCGGAUUAACUAGAACAUCACCAGUGGGACGUCAGAUUGAGAUUGGCAAUCAUCUCAGUGAUGUCAAUAUAUAGAUGCAAAAUAAAACUCCUGAUGCUGAUGCUCGUGAGUAGUGAGAGAGAACGACUACUCUAUGUCGUUGUUGAUGCUGUUUUUAUUUCAUUUCUAUUGUCAUUGGCAUUGUUAUUGUUUUUAAUGAAUAAUUGCACAUUUUUGGUGUUGACCCUUUACACGGCCUUUUGCUUCUUUAUAUUUUUUUCAAAGAUGAUUCAUAUUUUUUUUUAUUAGAGUUUGGUCAGUCUUGUUUGUUCUGUUACAAAAGUUAUCCAAUAGUUUGUUCGACCUCAAUGUAUCUUCGUAUAGGUUCUUGCUAGUCUUUACUGAUAAAAAUUACAAUGUUGGUGAUAAGUAGAAUUCAGCUUUUAUACAAUACUUUUUUGACUUUUCGUGGUACGAUCAUUCACGCUUUGGAUUGUCUGUAGGCUUGAUCAGGGUCUUUGGUUAUUUUGCGAGGAUGUUCUUAAUUUAGCAUGAGUGGCGUUUGCCGACUUUCCAGUAUCAACCAUUACUCUUGAGAGCUUGCAUCCUCCAACAUCUAGGCAUAUGAUCAAGUGAUCACCGUGAGGUAUAUGAUGGUUAACAGUUUCGUACUUGUGGACAAUGAUUUAAUGAUCCCAUUCGGUAACUGGGCCUUCGUGUUUCCAUGAUGCUUUCAACUCUUCUCCGGUAUGAUUUUAUCAAGUUAUUGGAGUUACAAAAUUUUGAGCCUCCGUAAAUGAAGUUGAUUCGUUUCUUAUGAGGGAAGUGGAUAGUAUCCUUGUCCCCUAAACAGAUCGAGGUUGUAUAUCGUUGAGCAGUUUUUGACAAGCGAUUAUUUCUUCACAUAAUUCUUGAACCCGGUAGCAACUUUGGGUUUGCUUCUGCUUUGAAGGUUCUUGUGGGUUACGAGAUGUCUAUUUCUCGCCAGCAUAUGAGGUGGAACCGAGGUCUGGCUAGUCGACCUUUUUUUUGGGUUUCAUAGGUUUCGACAUGUCCCUUCAGAGGAUCGUGUCGAAUCUUUUCUUAAGAGCUGUUGGAGGUAUGUUUGGUGAAUCUUCCGUUAUUUUACGGCUUAUUUUAUUGGAGGUAUUUUGGUCUUGUUGUUGGUUUUUGGUGUUAUUUUGACAUGUUCUUUAUUAGAUUCGGCGUCUUCUUCUUUGUUGCUCUUACUUCUUUGUGUGACAGCAUUUUUUGUGGAAUGAAUUUUUCUUUGGUGGAAACAACAUAAUUAGCUUCCAUAUUAUUUAGAUGGUCUGUCCUUAGUUGGAUUGAUCACAUCAAAGGAAUAAUGUCUCUUAGUGGGGGUUCUUUCUUGAUUGGUUUGUUUGGUGGUUUAUUGCUCAAAAGAUAUCACCCAAAUUAUCCUAAGUAGUGAUUUUACUCUCUCAAAUAAGAGGUUCAGUUGUAGUAUUUUGGGAUCAAAUCCACAUGGAGCGUGGAUACACAAUAAAAUCAACCAGACGCGAUUAAGCUAGGAAAACAGAUUAUAAAGCAGUAAACAAAGUAAAGCAGUGGUGAACAAGGCAGUUGUUCGGUUGAUUGAGGUUGUAAACAAUAUAAGAAAAUAGCUAGAUCUAGGGUUCAAACGAUCAGAAUUAUAGAGAUAUGGAUGCUAAGGGUAUAUGAAUGACAAUCCUACAACUCGAAUUCUAAUGAAGGGCAUUGUACUGUUCAAUGUGAAUCUCAGCUGUAGCAAAUUAUGAGGUUUGAUGAAGGGCAUCUUCCAAUGAAAUGGGUGCUUUAACUGAAAUUUCAUCUCAAGAUGAAAACAAUAUUCCAUUUUAAUGACUUUGAGAGAUACUCCUUUAUUAAGACGAAGAUUCUAGCCUUCACAACUCUGAACCAGAUGAUGAAUGACCUUACAUGUUCGAGUUUUAUAUUUCAUAGAUCUACAUAUGAAGCUCAUGCAUCGAUGAAUACAGAGUAUUGUUUCAAUAAAACUACAAUUUGUACAAAUAAAUAAAUUUAAUUUAUUCAAUCCAAAUAUUUAUUAUUAUUUAAUAUAUUUUUUUAUAUUUUUUUUAAAUGGGUAAACCUUUCCCCGAAAAGAGAAUGUGAAAAGAUCCGGUGGCCACACGCCAUGUUUAUUUGGGUUAACAGCGGAUUCGAACUCGGAUCUCUUACAGAUCCACAAAACACCUUGUGCUACCCGACGCGUGGUUUUAUUUUUAAUAUCUAUGUAAUAUUUUAAUAAUUUUUUUUUAAAAAAUGAUGUCAGUUUUAUUUAAAAAGAAAACAAAUCCAACAGAAAACGUGUUUCUUGUGGUUCUGGCCAUUGUGGCCAACGGUGUUGUGUUGGGUAGUUUCCCUAUUCAUGAUAAGUAGAUAUAAUAUAAGUUUAUAUUCUUGUAUCAAAUAUACAAACAUACAUGAUCGUCUAUUAUCCAAUAAAUAAUAAACAUAACAAAUUAAGGGAAAUUUGUAAAUAUAGAACAAAAAACAACUAUAUUGUCCCUAUGCCAUAAAUUGAACUAUAUAUUGUCUAAAAAUAAAUAAUCUUAAAUUCAUGUAUGAUUUACAAGAGUGUCAUUUUUUAUAUGUCAGCCUCACAAGCACUCUCACAAUUUAUAUUUAAAAACCCUUGGUUAACUAGACUUAUUACAACAUCUGCCAUUGGUCAUUACAAUAUAAAAUAUGUACGAUUUAUGUUUUCGCAUUAAUACUUUCCAUGUUCUAUUACACGGAAUAUAGCAAAUAUAACAUUCGAUUUACUCAUCGAAGGUUUAAAAGUCUAUAUGCAUUUAUAUUAAUCAUGUAGCAUUCGACAUCUAUCUUAUUAAAUCAAAAAGAUCUGAGACUUCGAAUCAUAUUGUAUUUUAUAUACUUAGGGAAAAAUACAAUUAAAUAUAUUUGGCUUGAUAUCAAACGAUCACUUCACUUUAUAUAAUAUUGAAAACUAUAGUCUAAAUUGAAGUGAUCGUUUGAACUGGUUUUAAGUUAGUCAAGUUUGAUGUUAGUUUAUUUGAUAAGAAUCCAUAUAAAAUUUUGGGUUAAGACAAAAUAGACUAUGUCGAUUUGUGUAUUACGCAUAUAUAAAAAUAUAGAAAUAUUAAAAACCAUAUAAUAGACUAUGUCUAUUUGUGUAUACACAUGUAUAAAUAUAUUAAAUAUAUGACAAAAAUCAAAUAAAAUGCUUUUAUGGUAUUAGGAAACCAUAGUAGACGUCGAAUCAUACAAAAAAAUGGAAAUUAAAAAUCUAAGCGACUAAAAUUUCGAAAGACACAUGUGACAUAAUCACUAAUUGCUUUCAAAUAUUAAUUUAGAAUCUAUUUACUCGGUUUGUUUUCUAAAAUACAACAUACAAUUCAUGUAAUUUUUGGAACCUUGCAACAAAUAUAUCGUGAUCUCGAUUUUGAAUAAUAAUGAUUUUAAUGUGGCUAUUAAUUGCGUCGAGUUUAUCCUAGACCUAGGCACCUUGCAUAUACAUAUACUUGGCCUCAUAGCUACAUCCUCACAAUUAUCUCUUUCUCAAUACUACUUUACCACUGCAUUCAAACAAUCACAUGAGUCAUGUUUCCUCAAUUUUUUUUAAAAAAUUAUAUUUUGAUUCUGCAGGGUUUUAUUAUUAUUGCUUAUGUUGCUUUUUAUGUUUAAUUCAUAAUUGAUUUAUAUUAGUUUUUGUUUACUCUUAUCACUCUUAUGGACUCUCUUCAAUUACUUAUAGGAGAAAUAAUCUAAAAUAAAUAUUAAUCUGUUAGUGAAAUUCGCAAUUUUGACUAACAUUUUAUUUUUGAAUAUUUACCAUUUUUUUGUAGUGUACCUUUAUAAUAUAGAUUACUUCAAAUUACUAAACUCUUAAAUCUAUUCACUCCGCGCAUGGCGCGGAUUAUCACCUAGUGCCAUAAUAUUUUGUAUAAAACCAAUUAAGCUCCUAUUAUAAGCCCAAUUUAUUUUUUGUUAAUUCAAUUACUUAUUUUAAAAAAGGAAAUUAAGUUAACAAAGAAAAUAAAUUGCAAAAGAAAAACGGAAGGAAAAUUCAUUUAGCCCCAAACCGCAGACACGAACCCUAAAUCACAUCUUCUCCUUUGUCUCUCUCUCGAGAAAAUCUGAGAAAAUUCACCGGCUAUUAAUCUCUACGAUGCUUCACUUCACCUUCGCCAGUGUUCCUUAUUCUUACCUGGCUGAUUAUACCCAUCUUAUUUUUACUAUCUUGUGAAGGAAGAGCAGCUACUUAUGAAAGCCAAAAACAUGAUUAGGCAGAAAGAAGAAGAAGAAAGAAUGCAGAAGCGUCUGGAGUCAAUAUGGUUAUGCUGCAGGUAGACAUGAGAGCCAGGAUUCAAGUAAACAAAGGUUAAUAACAUAGGAGAUAAAUAUCGGGCACAGUGCACCUGCUUUUUCGAUAUCACAUUUUCAUUUUGGGAUUUUCGUUAAAAACUUGGUUAUUUUCCAUGUCAAUAUCAAGUUAGGCUUGUUACUAUACUCAAGAUUGAUUUUUUUUCCCUGUUUAAAGUUGUAUUUUAUGGUACCGGAUGAAAUUGAAUGUCUUCAUGUAGUUUAAAGGAGUUACAACGAAAACGUUUCUUCCAAA